UGAAUGCAUUUUUUAAUACUACUUCAAAAAUUUUGACUAUCGAGACAAUCAAAUGACUGCUAACGAGAAAUCAUUAUUUUUUGAACAAUACUUGAAGUUACUACGUGAGUUUUAAAACACUCGGAAGUCUUGUCUAAAAUUUGGUUACAACGAUGGUUAAGCUAUUUUUUACAUUGUUUGCGCUGUUGAUAUUUGGUGUCAAUCGAUUUUAUUCUUUACCUAACAACAUUAAAGAAAAGGAGGUAUGUGAACUAAAAGAAGUUGAAAUGGAAGUCUCACAACCCGGUUGUGUUACUAAAAAAAUAAAAAACAACGAAUGUCAAGGAAUGUGCAGCUCUUUUUUUGUAUAUAGUUCAUUAGAACCAAAGCAAUACGGAUGUCGGAUUUGCAAACCAAAUCGAAAAAUGAUUGAAGUAGUCUUAGAUUGCAAAGAUGAAGCAGGAAACGAACUACGUAAAACUGUAACAAACGUGCCGUAUUUUGAAAGCUGUUCUUGCCAAAAAUGCAUUGAGAAAACUAACUAAUUUUAAAAAAUAAAUAAGUUCUGAAAAACGACAAAUUAAGUUCUAGUACGUUGAUUGAUAUCUUUAUAAAAUGAUUCAUGCAAACUUUACUACAAUAAGAAUAGGUAAAAACAA